GACUAACGCUGGCGGCGUGCCUAACACAUGCAAGUCGAACGCAUCUGUGCUUCGGUACAGAUGAGUGGCGAACGGGUGAGUAACACGUGAGUAACUCCCCUGGGGGAGGGGGAUAACCAUCUGAAAAGGUGGCUAAUACCCCAUAUUCUCUUUUCUCAUAAGAGGAAAGAGGAAAGAUGGCGUAAGCUAUCACCCCGAGAGAGGCUCGCGUCCCAUCAGCUAGUUGGUAAGGUAAGAGCUUACCAAGGCUAUGACGGGUAGCUGGUCUGAGAGGAUGGUCAGCCACACUGGGACUGAGACACGGCCCAGACUCCUACGGGAGGCAGCAGUGAGGAAUCUUGGGCAAUGGGCGAAAGCCUGACCCAGCGACGCCGCGUGGAGGAAGAAGGCCUUCGGGUCGUAAACUCCUGUUCGGGGAGAAGAACAGGAGGGAAGUGAAUAACUUCUCUCCCUGACGGUAUCCUCGGAGAAAGCUCCGGCUAAUUACGUG
rnacentral:rRNA from 1 species